rnacentral:rRNA from 1 species
GGCGCGAUCCCGGCCGCGCCGCGGCCGGGCGCAGCGCCGGCCCGUCUCGUCCGGCCGUCGUCGACCCGUUCGCGGGGAGGCGGCGCGCGCGGGGAGGCGGAGUCGGAGCGCGAGCGACGAGACCCGAAAGAUGGUGAACUAUGCCUGAGCAGGGCGACGCCAGAGGAAACUCUGGUGGAGGCCCGCAGCGCUUCUGACGUGCAAAUCGAUCGUCGUACUCGGGUAUAGGGGCGAAAGACUAAUCGAACCAUCUAGUAGCUGGUUCCCUCCGAAGUUUCCCUCAGGAUAGCUGGCGCUCGCUCGACAAGCAGUUCCAUCCGGUAAAGCGAAUGAUUAGAGGCCUCGGGGUCGAAACGACCUCGACCUAUCCUCAAACUUUAAAUGGGUGGGAGGCCCGGCUCGCCCGAUCGGAGCCCGCGGCACACUCUCUCGAAUGCACGAGCG